GGAUAAAUAGUUUAUAGAGAAUAUGAGUUUUGUAAACUUAGGGGGCUUUUAAUUUGGCUUUAUCCU
rnacentral:tRNA from 1 species